rnacentral:rRNA from 1 species
UACAGAGACUGCAAGCGUUAUUCGGAUUCACUGGGCGUAAAGGGUGCGCAGGCGGCCGAGUGUGUGAGGCGUGAAAGCCCGGGGCUUAACCCCGGAAUUGCACCUCAAACUACACGGCUAGAGCAUUGGAGAGGGUAGCAGAAUUCAUGGUGUGGCAGUGAAAUGCGUAGAUAUCAUGAGGAAUACCAGAGGCGAAGGCGGCUACCUGGACAAUUGCUGACGCUCAGGCACGAAAGCGUGGGGAGCAAAAGGG